GGCGCGUGCGGGGCCGUUGGAAUUCCUCACUGGGAGACGGCGCAGCCACCUCCUUUUGUUUCUCCCGUCAGUUAUUACAGAGAACUGUGCUCUCGUUGUGUGGGUGCGAACUGGGGCCAGAGAGGGCUGAGGAGCAGGAGUGCAGAAAGGAGCAACGUGUAUCACAGAUUUGCCCUGCCUGACCUCUAUCUGAAUGUGUUUUGUCAAGCAGUGGAGCGGGAACACCUCCAUCCUUCUGUAGGGGAGGGUGAGGCAGAGAGUAGGAUGUGUGAGGUGGAAAUAGGGGUGUAGGCAAGGAAGAAUGGGCAGUCAUUUGCUCGCCUGCCAUCGGUGCCUCUAGAAUCAAGCAGCAUUAAGAGGAAUUCUUCACAAAGCUUUUUCAAGGAUCUUUUGUUAGAUUCUUCAUUUGGAAGGUGAAAUGUCAACCAAAGUACCGAACAUUAAACUGAAAACUGAUCCUCAGGAUCUGCAGAUCCAGACCUUUACAGUGGAGAAAUUACUGGAACCACUUAUAAUUCAGAGCAUUGGCAAGGACGUACUUGCACAAGACUUGACAUGAUUCUGCAAAUACUGUGGGUAACUAAGUGUGUUGAAGGAUCUCUACAGAAAUAUAUUAUGUGGAAAAGAACACAGAGUGCAUCUUCUAUUUUAAAUCUCAAUUUCAUUGAAUACUCUCUUCAUUUUAUUUAGUAAUGUGCAAGUACCUGUUUUUAUUUAGUCGAUUGCGUGUAUCAUGAGUUUGUCUGUCUAUGAGUGUUCUUCAGCCUUGUCAAGAUGCUGUAUUUCCUGUCACUGCUGUACACUGCUUCUGAAGUAUUCUUUUUCCUGGUGCCUGGGGAUAUGUUUACACGCCAGUCAUUGCUCUGGCUGAAGUUUGUGUAGGUACAGUGAGCUACAAUUUCACAUUCAGAAAUUUUGCUAAUAUGCAAAGAAUACUUUGGCCAACCUUACAACCUGAAAAAUGGUAGUAUAAUGACUUUGAAUUAGUUUCUGUGAUUGGUUAAUAUCUUUUUGAAUUCACUGAGUAAUGCAUGUUACAAGAGAAUAACUUCUUGUUAAGUAGUAUAUGUUAGUAAACAGCAAACAAAAAUGUAACUGGGAGAACGGUUAGGUAAACAGAACAUAACUGGGCUGAAAAUCCAGUAUUCUGGCCAUUAUUUUGUUUAUAGUAAUGCAACAAUUGGGAAUUUACAGCUUAUUGAAAAAACAAAAACAAAAAAAUACAAACCCCAAAUGAAGCAACAAAUAGUUACAUAUACAAAAAAGAUAUAUAGUUUUCUAUUAUUUCCAUUGUAUUAUAACUGAAAUUUCUCUAUUAAAAAAUAAAUAAAACUAUCAUUUUAAUUAAAACCACAACUGCUACUGUUGUACUUGAAUAGAUACUAAAAGGAAAGUAUAUUUUCCCCUCCCAUGGGUCAUUAAUUGGCAUCUUUCGACUGUGUCAGACACUUUGGCGUAUGGUAAAUUUUGUUUCUCCAGGAACGCGCUCCUUUUUACACACUGCUCUGAUUGUGUCUUUCAUUCUUUUUUCUGGGAGCCAGUCUUCUGCAGACUUGUUAUCUGGGCUUGCCAAGGACUUGUGACCAGAUACAAAGGAACUGUCAGAUUAUAUCUAAAAAGGCAGCACAUGAUAUGAGUGGAGAGAAAAUGAAUACAGCAGUGAAAGAUGAGGGCUAGAGAGUGCCAAAUAUGUUUGGUGUGAUGAUGCUUACAUGUAUGUGCAUUUUCAUGUCAGAUUAGUAAUUUUUUAGAAUUGCCCUAUAUGGUCUAAAACCUAAGAAAAGAAGUGCUGAUAAUGUGUUAUAACAGAUAUUCUUUGAAGAAAUUGCUUUAAAAUCUAUUUAAGUGACAUAAGUUUAUCUUUAAUGAAGUUAUAUUUCCCCUUUUGAAAAUUUGUCUUUGCUGAUUUCAUCCAUCCAGAAUUCUAUUUAUUUAUUUAU